rnacentral:rRNA from 1 species
GACGAAGCCGUCCAACGUUGUUCGGAAUCACUGGGCUUAAAGGCGCGUAGCGGACUGCCAAGUCCGGGUGAAAUCUUCGGCUUAACCGGAAAGGGCCUUGGAAACUGGACGGUCUCGAGGGAGGUAGGGGCCUGGUGGAACUUCGGGUGGAGCGGUGAAAUGCGUUGAUAUCCGAAGGAACGCCGGUGGCGAAAGCGACGGGCUGGAUCUCUUCUGACGCUGAGGCGACGAAAGCCAGGGGAGGCAAACGGG